rnacentral:rRNA from 1 species
UACGGGGGGGGCAAGCGUUGUUCGGAAUUACUGGGCGUAAAGGGCUCGUAGGUGGCCAACUAAGUCAGACGUGAAAUCCCUCGGCUUAACCGGGGAACUGCGUCUGAUACUGGAUGGCUUGAGAUUGGGAGAGGGAUGCGGAAUUCCAGGUGUAGCGGUGAAAUGCGUAGAUAUCUGGAGGAACACCGGUGGCGAAGGCGGCAUCCUGGACCAACACUGACGCUGAGGAGCGAAAGCGUGGGGAUCAAACAGG